CGUGAGUUAAGUGUGUGAUUUCGGUCAUAUUAAAAUAGAGAAGUAGGAUUGAAGUUCCUCCUUUUGUUCAUUUAAAAAGGCUCCCCAUGUAGUUCAGAUGUCAGAGCUGCAUGAUGAUUCCUCUUAUUGGCUCAACACAAGAUUCAGAUGUUGUGUAGAACAGGAGUAAUGAGAGAAAACUGCUGGAUCAUUAGAAACCACAGACGAGGAAGAAACAACAGCACAGAGAGAGAAAUGGAGGAUAGAAAUGAGACACAAACCUGUGGAUCACAAGAGAAAAGAAGAAAAAGACUUGUUAGAUGGAAGAGUAUGGAGAAAUUAAAACCAAAGCUCUGAGAUGAUCCAGAUGAUUCUGCUGUCAAAUCAAACCAAAACUCUUCAUCGUGUUCUCAAGAACACAUAACAUCAGUGAGACACCAGCAGCUGAAGACCUGAUCUUCAUCAUCAUCAUCAUCAUCAUCAGGAGAGUCCAGCUACUAAUGACUGAAGAUCAUCACACAGACUCCAUUAACUCAGUCUGUUCAGAUCCUGCACUCUUUCUCAGACUCAUCUGAUCAGAAACAGACUCUUCCUCGGAUCUGUGUCUGUAUUCUGCACUUUACUGACAACACUCAGCACAUCACAGUUCCCUGGAUUUGACAGUGAUUUAUAUCAUUUAAGACAUGGAGACACUCUGUGAAAACACAAGAUAAGACAAGACCAAGUACAAACAAAACAAACACACAUCUUGUUAAAUGACUUCAGUUCACCUUUGGAUUGAGGAAACUGAGGUAGCUGAUGGAAACACAAGAUAAGACAAGAGACCAAGUACAAUCACAGAAAAACUACAAACUAAACCAGUUCUCACACUGUAAUCAUUUACUGUGAGACAACACUGCCUCCCACUGAGCCACAAUAUAUUCAUGCAAAUAUAUAGUCAUAUUUGUAAAUUAUUUUAUACCAUUUUUAUUUUGUACAAUAUACAUUUGUAUUUUCACACUAACAAGAAGUAAUAUUCACUAUGCAUUGUAUUUAAUAGUGUUACAAUGUUAUCUGGCUUUCUUCUGCUACAUUUGACUUGAGCCAAUCACCGGAGCUGUAAAUGUCACAUGACCACACAGUUCUGGAGCUGCUGGGAAAUUACGUUGUGUUACAGACUCAAAGCUUAACUACUGACUUUCACAGACAGCAGACAGGACAAUAAAGUAUGCUUCACACUUCAAGGUCGCGCAUGCAAACGCAGCAGUAGGUCACUGAAACACUUCUGAAAACGUCUGCCAGGAUGAAGAUCUGUUGGUUAGAGUAUCUCAGGCAGAACUUUACAAAAGGUCAUUUCAACAAGCUCUGGAUUAACAAUAUAAUAAAUCAGUGUUAUUCCUUCAGUAGUACAGAUUAUACAAAUAAUUUAAUUCCAGUUCAUAUUUAACUAUUCUCUAAAGUUUAUAAUACAUUGUGAAGAAAUAAUAAAUCAUUAUUUUCAGUGUUUUAAAUGAAUAUAGUGUGGCAUACAGCAAUUUAUAUAUAAAAAUAUGCACUAUAUGAAAAACCAUACAGUAUAACACAUUCAUCUACUACUGCAUAUCUUAUCUAAUAAACUGAUAAUAAAAGACAUACACGACUCAAUAAGUGUCUGAAUUUGAUAAAUAUUCUGCUGUUAGACAAAAGGAACAACCUCUUUCUAAAGAGAGAAAGUGUUUGUAACACACAGCUGUAGAU